AAAACAUUGCCUCACGAAAACAAGAAUGAGAGGUCAGUCCUGCCCGGUGACCUGCGGGUUUAACGGCCGCGGUACCCUGACCGUGCAAAGGUAGCGUGAUAAACUGCCCUUUAAUUGUGGGCCUGUACGAACGGAUAAACGAGGGCUUAGCUGUCUCUAGUAUAGAAAUGGAAAUUAAUAUUUAAGUGAAGAAACUUAAAUUUUAUCAAAGGACAAAAAGACCCUAUAGAGCUUCGUUACACAUCUGUUUUUAGUAGAAUUCAUUUAUGUCGAAAAAACUAAAAACAGACAAAAACUUAACUGGGGCGGUUGAAGAAAAAAGAAACUUCUAUUUAAAGACCUUAAAGCAAAAUAAGACAUAACAAGUCAAUAUAUAAGAGUGAGCCUAAAAAAUUAGAUUAAAGGAAAAGCUACCUUAGGGGUAACAGAUUAAUCCUUCUUAAGAGUCCACAUUAACAGAAGGGUUUGACACCUCGAUGUUGGCUUAAGGGAUCCCAAAGGUCAGCAGAAGCCUUUAAUGGUAGGUUUGUUCAACCUUUAAACCCUUACGUGAUCUGAG
rnacentral:rRNA from 1 species